AAGAAAAUAAAGAUUUUACAGAAAAUGAUAAAGAUAGAAAAGCUCAUGUAGAAGUCAUAGCAAUAUACGGUAUACAUUCAUUAAUACUUAGCAAGUUCGAUAACUCGUAUAAGUAGUAUAUACGGUAACGAGUUAUGAAACAUUGCCCUGUAUUAAUCAGAGUACGGAUUUUUAUACUUACAAAAGAUUAUAAUUGAUCAUGGUCAUGAACAGUCAUAGCAUGUUACUGCCUUCUACAAUUGUUCUGGUUUAAACACAAAUGGCAUGGAAUAACAAAAGUUAGCACUCUCAAAAGGAGAAACAAACGUUGUGCGGCAAGCAUGGAAUUUUGUGCGACUGUCAUACAAGAUAAAAGUUGAGCUAG
rnacentral:lncRNA from 1 species